AAGGGGGAAUUAAUUCAGUGGAACUAGUGUUCAGGGAUUUGUGGGGAAGUAGUUCUGUGUGACCACCUAGCCCUAUAUAAGACCUAUCUGUUUGCUCAGAAACUAUCAGAGGGUGUUGCUGUAGUACCAGCUGCUGAAUUGUUUGAGUUUGGUAGGUCUUUCUCAAGACUGCUGCUGUACCCCUGCAAACAUGGGAGGCAAAUUGAGCAAAAAGGGGCUCAACAUGGCUUAUGAGAAACCAAUAACCCAUGUGGUUGAAGAAGCUACAGAGGCUGCUACAGGGAGGCCAGAAGAGAGGGAGGAGGCCUGCCUUGCUGCAGAGUCCAUGGGACCCACAACUGAGAAGAGGCACAAAGAUUCCCAGGUCCCUGCUGAUGAGAGAGAAGACAAGGAAGGAGGUGGAGUCCCUGCAGUGGGUGUGGACGAGAUCUGUGAAUCUGAACCAAAUGAAGAGCAGCUGGUGGCUAUCAGUGAGGAAACCACUAAAUCUCCAGAGGCAGACCCUUCCCAGGUUCUGGAAGUCACAGCGCCUACAGGUGUUGAGAGCAGACCAGAAGGGGAUGCUAAAUAGAUGGAAUCCCCCAGCAUCUGAAUGCCAAGUGACUCCACCCCAGUUUCUAUUUCAAGACCAAACUCCAUGAAGAGGCACCUUCUGCAGAGUGAGCCUGGCAACACUAGUACUACUCUCUGCUUCUACAACCUGAGACUGUAGCUGUGGCAGAACACCUCCAUCUUUCCAACAAACUCUGAUCCCUAGUGCCAGAAUGUCAUGGACAGACUGAGUAAUGCUAGUAAAACUACCUCUUUUAGGUGGUUCCCUCAGCACUGGUGAGCUGUAUCCUUAGCUCUUAGCCCUCUGUAGGGAAAUGGCCCUCUGUAGGGAAAUGGCCAAGUAAGAUGGCAUGCAUCUGGCACAGGAAAUGUGUUCUACCAGUUGCACCAAGUCCUGUAUCUCUUAGGCUAGACUGUGAAAGUACAGCACAUCUCAGUACCUGAACUAUCAUAAACUAACUUGUGUGUAUAGCCAUCUUUCUCUGUUUAAUGUAGAUGACUGAAUGUAAUUAAAACAGUAUCUAAGGGUUUUAAGGCUUUGGUGUGAUCCCUUAUAUGCAAUGAAGGGGAGGCUCUGAAGAACAAACUUGAUUUCCUGUUCUCGUGUUACAUUGCAUGAUGUGGCUAGAAGUCCUGAAUGCAGUAAAGAUGUGAGGCGAUGACUAGCUUUUCUGGCACAUGUUAAUUACAAUUCAGAUGCAUUUUGAGGGCUCAGCUGGCACUUCAAAACCAGAAGAAACAUGUAAUUGCUUAUAUUUUAUAAGCUAGUAACUUUUCUCCUCUGAAAAAUCUGUUCUGUAUAUGCAGUAACAGGACACUGGUGGUUUAUAGAAAUCCUUGUAUUGAUUUCAAAUGUUGGCUGUCAAUAAAUGUUUUAUAGCUGCAACAAACAUCUGAAACUUUUUUAUAGUUGGUGUCUACCUUCACUGAAUAAACUCUAAUUACAGGCUGUAUGGGGAGCAGGGAGUUGCAUUGUCUUAAUUACAUGAGUUCAUACCCAUAUCCAGUAGCAUCUUGACUUCCUCCAUACUCUACAGCAGUGACAGUUUUGAAGGAGUCUCUCUUCCCUCUACCCCCAGUGAUUUAGUGGUUUUGAGUGGAUCCUGGGCCCUGGUGAGUCUUACCCCUGAACACUAAGAUACAAGAGCUCCAUCAGGGUUCAGUUCAGGACAUGAACCUGACAGGCUUCCUGGGCUCAACAGCUUCAGGGUCUGGUCUUAAGCUUUGAGCCCACUUGAGUCAUACAGCUGUGAUGUUCCACUAGUUAAUAGUAGGCCUAUGCUGGGUGAGAACCCAGCACACACACAAUCUUUUUGUACUCCUUCUAACUAGAUAAAUCUUUACCACAGUAAAUUGUUUCCUUGUGGAAACGCUCAUCUUGAGCAGCUCUGUUGAAAUAACAAGGCCCCUACUCUGCAGGAUGUAAACAGCACUGCUGUUAAUAGGACUCUUUUCUAAAACCCACUUUCUCCAAAAGUGAACCUCUGUCUCUUGACAGCUCUGAGAAUGGCAGCUAGAAUGGAAAAUAGGGUCAUGGGACUGCAGAACUGCUUACUUGCUAGCUGUUUCAAAGGAGUGUUGUAUUUUUGUUCACAAGCUUUCUCAUCCCUUCCCUUAUUCCAAAAGGUCAUACUUACACACACCCUUUCUCAUCUUCUCCCCAUCUCAGUUCCCCCUCAGUGUGAUCAAGGAUUCCAAUCUGUUCUUCCCCUAACCUGGCUCCAACUCUGGGUAUGUGAUAAAUUUGACCAUCUCCUACCUCAGUACUUUCUUAGUCCUAUCUGACUUCAUGAUCA